GCCCAGAUAGCUCAGUCGGUAGAACAGGGGACUGAAAAUCCCCGUGUCGGUGGUUCGAUUCCGCCUCUGGGCACCA
rnacentral:tRNA from 1 species